GACGAACGCUGGCGGCGUGCUUAACACAUGCAAGUCGAACGGAAAGACCCUGCUUUUGUGCGGUGCGCGAGUGGCGAACGGGUGAUUAACACGUGAGUAACCUGCCCUUGACUGUGAGAUAACCUCAGGACACUGGGGCUCAUCGCGGAUAAGAGCUCCUGCUGCGUGGUUGUGGUUGGUAGGUUUAGGCAGUUCGGGUUGGCCUCGCGGCUUAGCAGCUAGCUAGUGGGGUAGUGGCUUACCAAGGCUUUGACGGGUAGCCGGCCUGAGAAAGUGACCGGGCACAUUGGGACUGAGGUACGGCCCAGAGGGCUACAGGAGGCAGCAGGGGGGAAUAUUGCACAAUGGGCGCAAGCGUGAUGCAGAGACGCCGCGUGCGGGAAGACGGCCUUCGGGUUGUAAACCGCUGUCGCCUGUGACGAAGCGUGAGUGACGGUACUGGGUAAAGAAGCACCGGCUAACUACGUG
rnacentral:rRNA from 1 species